rnacentral:rRNA from 1 species
UACAGAGGGUGCAAGCGUUAAUCGGAAUUACUGGGCGUAAAGUGUGCGCAGGCGGCAGAGCAAGUCGAGUGUGAAAGCCCCGAGCUUAACUUGGGAAUUGCGCUCGAAACUACUUUGCUGGAGUGUGGCAGAGGAAGGUGGAAUUCCAGGUGUAGCGGUGAAAUGCGUAGAGAUCUGGAGGAACACCGAUGGCGAAGGCAGCCUCCUGGGCCAACACUGACGCUCAUGCACGAAAGCGUGGGGAGCAAACAGG